UGCUCCAGAUCUACAAGAUUUGCUACGGGAGGGGUUUCUUGCUCCAGAUCAAAGAACCUUAGCCCGUGGAGUGACCUUAUCGGAGCACGACAGGGAUGAUCCACCAGAGGAGGAGUAGAAGAAGGCCAUGCAGAAAAGCUCAUGGACAUGUCCCCAGCGAAUUGUUUUCUUCGAUUUCAUGUUAAAAACUUCUAUGCAACUCAAGUUUGAUUGAUGCUAUCUGGCUUGGUGCAAUUUAGAUAAUUGACAUGUAUUAAUUAUUGUUGCAAGAUGUUUCUUUUUGUAAGAUUUGUUGCAAGACUUUCUACCUUUUUAAUUAAUUCUGCCUGGAGAUGUAAAGAUUGGUUGAAUAUGUUGUGUAUUUCGAAUUAUAAGUAUUUCUUGAUAUUUCUGUAUUAA